AUUGAACGCUGGCGGCAGGCCUAACACAUGCAAGUCGAACGAGUGGCGGACGGGUGAGUAAUGUCUGGGAAACUGCCUGAUGGAGGGGGAUAACUACUGGAAACGGUAGCUAAUACCGCAUACUAUCAGAUGAGCCUAGGUCGGAUUAGCUAGUUGGUGGGGUAAAGGCCUACCAAGGCGACGAUCCGUAACUGGUCUGAGAGGAUGACCAGCCACACUGUAACUGAGACACGGUCCAGACUCCUACGGGAGGCAGCAGUGGGGAAUAUUGCACAAUGGGCACAAGCCUGAUGCAGCCAUGCCGCGUGUAUGAAGAAGGCCUUCGGGUUGUAAAGUACUUUCAGCGGGGAGGCGUUACCCGCAGAAGAAGCACCGGCUAACUCCGUGCCAGCAGCCGCGGUAAUAC
rnacentral:rRNA from 1 species